rnacentral:rRNA from 1 species
GACGAACGCUGGCGGCGUGCCUAACACAUGCAAAUCGAGCGGGGACAUUGGUUUCGGCUGAUGUUCUAGCGGCGGACGGGUGAGUAACGCGUGAGCAACCUUUCUCUCAGUGGGGAAUAACACAGGGAAACUUGUACUAAUACCGCAUGAGACCACAGCAUCGCAUGGUGCAGGGGUCAAAGAUUUAUCGCUGAGAGGUGGGCUCGCGUCUGAUUAGAUAGUUGGUGGGGUAACGGCCUACCAAGUCGACGAUCAGUAGCCGACCUGAGAGGGUGAUCGGCCACAUUGGGACUGAGACACGGCCCAAACUCCUACGGGAGGCAGCAGUGGGGAAUAUUGGGCAAUGGGGGAAACCCUGACCCAGCAACGCCGCGUGGAGGAAGAAGGUUUUCGGAUCGUAAACUCCUGUCCUCAGGGAAGAGCAGAAGACGGUACCUGAGGAGGAAGCCCCGGCUAACUACGUG